GGUGAACGCUGGCGGUAGGCCUAACACAUGCAAGUCGAACGGCAGCACAGUAAGAGCUUGCUCUUACGGGUGGCGAGUGGCGGACGGGUGAGGAAUACAUCGGAAUCUACUUUUUCGUGGGGGAUAACGUAGGGAAACUUACGCUAAUACCGCAUACGACCUACGGGUGAAAGCAGGGGAUCUUCGGACCUUGCGCGAUUGAAUGAGCCGAUGUCGGAUUAGCUAGUUGGCGGGGUAAAGGCCCACCAAGGCGACGAUCCGUAGCUGGUCUGAGAGGAUGAUCAGCCACACUGGAACUGAGACACGGUCCAUACUCCUACGGGAGGCAGCAGUGGGGAAUAUUGGACAAUGGGCGCAAGCCUGAUCCAGCCAUACCGCGUGGGUGAAGAAGGCCUUCGGGUUGUAAAGCCCUUUUGUUGGGAAAGAAAAGCAGCAGGUUAAUACCCCGCUGUUCUGACGGUACCCAAAGAAUAAGCACCGGCUAACUUCGUG
rnacentral:rRNA from 1 species